rnacentral:rRNA from 1 species
AUACGUAGGGGGCGAGCGUUGUCCGGAAUGAUUGGGCGUAAAGGGCGCGUAGGCGGCCUGGUAAGUCUGGAGUGAAAGUCCUGCUUUUAAGGUGGGAAUUGCUUUGGAUACUGCUGGGCUUGAGUGCAGGAGAGGAAAGCGGAAUUACCGGUGUAGCGGUGAAAUGCGUAGAGAUCACGCAGAACUCCGAUUGCGAAGGCAGCUUACUAAGCUACAACUGACACUGAAGCACGAAAGCGUGGGGAUC